GGGGGUGUAGCUCAGCCGGAUAGAGCAUCGGAUUUCUAAUCCGAGGGUCGGGAGUUCGAGUCUCCCCACCCCUGCCA
rnacentral:tRNA from 1 species